rnacentral:rRNA from 1 species
UACGUAGGGUGCGAGCGUUGUCCGGAUUCAUUGGGCGUAAAGAGCUCGUAGGCGGCUUGGCAAGUCGGGUGUGAAACCUCCAGGCUCAACCUGGAGACGCCACCCGAUACUGCCAUGGCUAGAGUCCGGUAGGGGACCACGGAAUUCCUGGUGUAGCGGUGAAAUGCGCAGAUAUCAGGAGGAACACCGGUGGCGAAGGCGGUGGUCUGGGCCGGAACUGACGCUGAGGAGCGAAAGCGUGGGGAGCGAACAGG